rnacentral:rRNA from 1 species
GUGCCAGCAGCCGCGGUAAGACGUAGGGUCCAAGCGUUGUCCGGAUUUACUGGGCGUAAAGAGCGCGUAGGCGGCUCGUUAAGUGUAGAGUGAAAUCUCUGGGCUCACCCCAGAAACUGCUCUGCAUACUGGCGAGCUAGAGGGUCGAAGAGGUAUGUGGAAUUCCUGGUGUAGCGGUGAAAUGCGUUGAUAUCAGGAGGAACACCCAUGGCGAAGGCAGCAUACUGGUCGGCAUCUGACGCUGAGGCGCGAAAGCGUGGGUAGCAAACAGGAUUAGAUACCCCGGUAGUCC